UUUCUUUCUUGAGCGCCAGGACACCUUAAUGACGUGUCAUUGUGCUGGCACAGUGAUGGAUCUUUGAAGCUGUUACUACCUUUGUGUUUCUGUGGAUUGCAUGAUUGACUCCAACUACAUAUUUCCAAGGGUCAUUGCUGAGCCAGCUCACAAUACUAAGUUCAUCAGCUGAACCUUGUUUAAAAAGACAAACUGCUCCUUCAGUCUUAGACUGAUUUUGUUCUUCAUUGUCUUUUAUUACAAUGACCUCCUUUUCCUCCAUAUUUUCGAGUUCAUUUGAAUGUUCAGACACGUUGCUAGACCGGUUCGCAGCUUUCUUUGCUUUCAGAUUUUUGUCUUUUACAUUCAGACGGGAGAUGUUGACAAAACAGAUCACUUAGUCCUAGUCCUGGUCCUUCAGGUUUGUAGAGGUCUACUUUACACAUACUUGCCUGACUGGGUAGCCAGUCAGCUUCCUGAGACAUCUUUGCAGAUUUCUGAGACAUCUUUGGACUCAAUGACAGAGGUUAGAAGUGGGUAGGGGGUAUCUUCCAACAGGACUGUAAAGUGUUGACCUGCUGUGAUGACCCUGCCAGACUUGAUAUUGCCUUUCUCAACUUCUUAUGCUCUUUUACUGCCAAACCUGAUGUUCACUGUGUUGACUCCUGGUUUCUAUAGUAGCAGUGACAUCACAGAGAUUCAGUUUCACCAGCAGCGAGUGCUGUGCCAGCCUUCCAGUUACAACUCUGGGCUGGGCCAGGAUUGGAGACGGGAACUGAGAACAGGCAGUGUCUUCCUCCGAUGCUUUGGGAAUUUGAUGAGAAUCAUCUUCCUGGUGCAAGGUCCAGUAAUUCUCACUUUUGGGUAAACGGGAAAUAUUCCCAACUUCUCAGCAUCUCCUUGCAUGACCUGUUGAGCUCCAGGCAAGCUUCCAAAUAUGAACACAGGUCAGCAAACAGAAUUGUAGGCAAGCAAGGAAAACAAAGACAACAUAACAGUUUGAGGAAACUGAAGAUUGAGAAGUACUGCCUUUAUUUGGCAAAUCUGAAGCCAACUGGUACAUGAGGGUGAAGCUCACGAACCGUUAAGUCGCGGCCCCUGGGGUCCUGUUCGGCUGCCACUGCCCCCAGUUUCUAGACUCCCCCUUCCCUCUCCAGCUGCUACUUCCUGCCUCCCCCCCACAGGGGGGCAAGGCAACAAAGUGAGCAGCUAAGGGAGCUGAGGAUAAGUAUGAGGCCAUGCAAGGGAGACAGUGUCUGUGUGCUGCAACAGUGGUGGUGGGGUGCCCUCCAGGACAUGUGCUGCACCUGGGUGGGGAGGGUCUGAAUUGUGCUUGCCUGCCCAUGUGCUAUAGCAGGGGGUGGGGUGCCUAGUACAGCCGUGGCAGGAAAGGGUGCCCUCAUGGCUGUACGGUGCAGUGGUGGGUGGGAGAAAAUGCCUAUGCAGCCCAAUAACCUGUGGCUUGACUGGUAGCGUAACCCCUGCUGUUGUGCCCCCGGGGCUUAGAAGUUGUUCAGCCCUUGUAUAACGUGUACAUGAAAUCAGUGUUUAAACAGAGGUCACAUUUAUUUCUGUACUAACUGCCAAAUCCAUUAGUGUUCCUAUCCCACUUUAGGCCUAAUAUAUCAUUACGUAGCUUCUUCAGUGCUUGUUUGUCAGACACCCUAUUGUUAUAUGUUGAGAGGCAAUGGGCCAAUUUUUCCAUCACGCUGCAGGAAACCAGGAUUAAUUCCAGAAUAGAGUUUUUCUAGAUUUAUAUUACUGUGAGAACAGCAUUGUUUUCAAUUAAAGAACUAGAUAAUCAUUUUACACAAUGUACAGCUAGAGUUAAAUUAGAUAUACAUAUAUAAUGAAGACUACCCAACUGUUCUAUUUUUUCUCAAUGCUAGAAAUAAAUGAGGAAAAGAGUUCAGAUUCUCUCUCUCUUUUUUUGUCUUUAAAUAGCUUUAAUCAAGUGACUUGAUCAUUUGAAAAGCUAUAUAAUGAAAUGCCAAAAAAGGUCAUUUUUGACUUUUUCCUAUCAGGCAGAGCUAUUAACCCUCAUAUGAGGUCCCUGCUGAAGGGUGCUUCCUUUUUCCUUGCUGUUUAGAAAAUACAGCAGUGGAUCUCAAGUUCACAGCUGCACAAGACAGUACUAAAAGUUGGGCGUGUUCUGGGAGGGAAAUCAUAGAAAAAUGUCACAAUUUCCAAUUUUUUCCCCUGUUCUAGAAUAGAGCUAUAACAAAACAGUUUCAA